GAUCCUGGCUCAGGAUGAACGCUGGCGGCGUGCCUAACACAUGCAAGUCGAACGAGGUAUUUUGAUUGAAGUUUUCGGAUGGAUUUCAAGAUACCGAGUGGCGGACGGGUGAGUAACGCGUGGGUAACCUGCCUCAUACAGGGGGAUAACGGUUAGAAAUGACUGCUAAUACCGCAUAAGCGCACAGUACCGCAUGGUACGGUGUGAAAAACUCCGGUGGUAUGAGAUGGACCCGCGUCUGAUUAGG
rnacentral:rRNA from 1 species